UGGGGAAUAUUGGACAAUGGGCGCAAGCCUGAUCCAGCCAUGCCGCGUGUGUGAAGAAGGCCUUCGGGUUGUAAAGCACUUUUGUCCGGAAAGAAAAGCUUCGGGUUAAUACCCCGGGGUCCUGACGGUACCGGAAGAAUAAGCACCGGCUAACUUCGUGCCAGCAGCCGCGGUAAUACGAAGGGUGCAAGCGUUACUCGGAAUUACUGGGCGUAAAGCGUGCGUAGGUGGUUUGUUAAGUCUGAUGUGAAAGCCCUGGGCUCAACCUGGGAAUUGCAUUGGAUACUGGCAAGCUAGAGUGCGGUAGAGGAUGGCGGAAUUCCCGGUGUAGCAGUGAAAUGCGUAGAGAUCGGGAGGAACAUCUGUGGCGAAGGCGGCCAUCUGGACCAGCACUGACACUGAGGCACGAAAGCGUGGGGAGCAAACAGGAUUAGAUACCCUGGUAGUCCACGCCCUAAACGAUGCGAACUGGAUGUUGGGUUCAACUAGGAACUCAGUAUCGAAGCUAACGCGUUAAGUCGCCGCCUGG
rnacentral:rRNA from 1 species